CUUUAUCUUGCUUAAAUUCACAGGGUGCACAACAAGGCCCGGGAGAGAAAAUAACUGUGAUGUCCACAAAUCCAAAGCAGAGAAGGAGCACACUAUACAAAGGCAACAGUGGAGAGUUGCUGGAUCUGUCUGUCCUCAAAGUGCCAGAGAUCUACAAGGACUUCACCCAUUUAUGCACCAUCACCUGCAUAAUC